UUGCAAGUGUGCAUCCCAUUGCAAGUCUGGUGCCAGCAGCCGCGGUAAUUCCAGCUCCAAUAGCGUAUAUUAAAGUUGUUGCAGUUAAAAAGCUCGUAGUUGAACUUUGGGCCUGGGCGGACGGUCUACCUAUGGUAAGCACUGUUGCGGCCGGGUCUUUCCUUCUGGCUAGCCCUCGGGCGAACCAGGACGAUUACUUUGAGGAAAUUAGAGUGUUCAAAGCAGGCCUUUGCUCGGAUAUAUUAGCAUGGAAUAAUAGAAUAGGACGCAUGGUUCUAUUUUGUUGGUUUCUAGGACCAUCGUAAUGAUUAAUAGGGACGGUCGGGGGCAUCAGUAUUCAGUCGUCAGAGGUGAAAUUCUUGGAUUGACUGAAGACUAACUACUGCGAAAGCAUUUGCCAAAAGCGACGCGAAGCGAA
rnacentral:rRNA from 1 species